rnacentral:rRNA from 1 species
GGCUUACGGGUAGUUGGUCUGAGAGGAUGAUCAGCAACACUGGGACUGAGACACUGCCCUGCCUCCUAGUUGGGUGUGCCGUCGAGUUUGUUUGUUCGUGCUCGGAAGUUGACCUUGCGACGCGGCUGGAGGAAGACGGCUUCGGUUUUAAACUCCUGUCAGCAGGGAGUAAGGAUGGGUUCUUUAAUACAGAUUUCAUUUGAUAGUACUGCAGAGGAAGUCACGGCUAACUCUGUGCCAGCAGCGCGGUAAUACAGAGGUGGCGAACGUUGUUCGGAUUUACUGGCGUAAAGGGUCCGCAGGCGGUCUGUGUGUCGGGUGUGAAAGCUCACGGCUCAACCGUGGAAUUGCAUUCGAAACUGCAGGACUAGAGUACUGGAGGGGAGAAGGGAACACUUGGUGUAGCGGUGAAAUGCGUAGAUAUCAAGUGGAACACCGGAGGCGAAGGCGCUUCUCUGGACAGAUACUGACGCUCAUGGACGAAAGUUAGGGUCGCGAAAGGGAUUAGAUACCCCUGUAGUCCUAACUGUAAACGGUGUGCGCUAGGCGUGGGUGGCUUUACCCCCAUCCGUGCCUGAGCUAACGCAUUAAGCGCACCGCCUGGGGAGUACGGUCGCAAGAUUAAAACUCAAAGGAAUUGACGGGGACCCGCACAAGCGGUGGAGCAUGUGGCUUAAUUCGAUGCAACGCGAAGAACCUUACCUGGGCUUGACAUAUAGCUGCAUCCGACCCGAAAGGGACGGAGCCUUCGAGGGUGCUAUACAGGUGCUGCAUGGCUGUCGUCAGCUCGUGCCGUGAGGUGUUGGGUUAAGUCCCGCAACGAGCGCAACCCCUGUGUUUAGUUGCCAGCACGUUAUGGUGGGCACUCUUAACAGACUGCCUGUGGAAGCAGGAGGAUGGUGGGGAUGACGUCAGGUCAGUAUGGUCCUUAUGUCCAGGCUGGACACGUGCUACAAUUGGAUGUACAGUGGGAGGCUAAGCCGCGAGGUGGAGCAAAUCCUCAAAACAUCCCCCAGUUCGGAUUGUAGUCUGAAACUCGACUACAUGAAGUUGGAAUCGCUAGUAAAGGCGUAUCAGCUACGACGCCUUGAAUACGUUCCCGGGUCUUGCACUCACCGCCCGUC